UGAGGAAUUUUGCGCAAUGGGGGAAACCCUGACGCAGCAACGCCGCGUGGGCGAUGAAGGCCUUCGGGUCGUAAAGCCCUGUCGGGCGGGAAGAACGCUCUUGGUCGAAGGACUGGGGGGUGACGGUACCGCCAGAGGAAGCACCGGCUAACUCCGUGCCAGCAGCCGCGGUACUACGGAGGGUGCAAGCGUUAUUCGGAAUUACUGGGCGUAAAGGGCGUGCAGGCGGGAGAGCAAGUCUGAUGUGAAAGCCCGGGGCUUAAACCCGGAAGGGCAUUGGAAACUGCUUGUCUUGAG
rnacentral:rRNA from 1 species